CCUACGGGAGGCUGCAGUGGGGAAUAUUGCACAAUGGGGGAAACCCUGAUGCAGCGACGCCGCGUGAGUGAAGAAGUAUUUCGGUCUGUAAAGCUCUAUCAGCAGGGAAGAAAAUGACGGUACCUGAUUAAGAAGCCCCGGCUAACUACGUGCCAGCAGCCGCGGUACUACGUAGGGGGCAAGCGUUAUCCGGAUUUACUGGGUGUAAAGGGAGCGUAGACGGCAGCACAAGUCUGGAGUGAAAUGCCGGGGCUUAACCCCGGAACUGCUUUGGAAACUGUGCAGCUAGAGUGCAGGAGAGGUAAGUGGAAUUCCGAGUGUAGCGGUGAAAUGCGUAGAUAUUAGGAGGAACACCAGUGGCGAAGGCGGCUUACUGGACUGUAACUGACGUUGAGGCUCGAAAGCGUGGGGAGCAAACAGGAUUAGAUACCCUUGUAGUC
rnacentral:rRNA from 1 species